GAUGAACGCUGGCGGCGUGCCUAAUACAUGCAAGUCGAGCGAACGGACGAGAAGCUUGCUUCUCUGAUGUUAGCGGCGGACGGGUGAGUAACACGUGGAUAACCUACCUAUAAGACUGGGAUAACUUCGGGAAACCGUAGCUAAUACCGGAUAAUAUUUUGAACCGCAUGGUUCAAAAGUGAAAGACGGUCUUGCUGUCACUUAUAGAUGGAUCCGCGCUGCAUUAGCUAGUUGGUAAGGUAACGGCUUACCAAGGCAACGAUGCAUAGCCGACCUGAGAGGGGGAUAGGCCACACUGGAACUGAGACACGGUCCAGAGUCCUACGGGAGGCAGCAGUAGGGAAUCUUCCGCAAUGGGCGAAAGCAUGACGGAGCAACGCCGCGUGAGUGAUGAAGGUCUUCGGAUCGUAAAACUCUGUUAUUAGGGAAGAACAUAUGUGUAAGUAACUGUGCACAUCUUGACGGUACCGAAUCAGAAAGCCACGGCUAACUACGUG
rnacentral:rRNA from 1 species